GUGGGGAAUCUUGCGCAAUGGGCGAAAGCCUGACGCAGCCAUGCCGCGUGAAUGAUGAAGGUCUUAGGAUUGUAAAAUUCUUUCACCGGGGACGAUAAUGACGGUACCCGGAGAAGAAGCCCCGGCUAACUUCGUGCCAGCAGCCGCGGUAAUACGAAGGGGGCUAGCGUUGCUCGGAAUUACUGGGCGUAAAGGGCGCGUAGGCGGACAUUUAAGUCAGGGGUGAAAUCCCAGAGCUCAACUCUGGAACUGCCUUUGAUACUGGGUGUCUUGAGUGUGAGAGAGGUAUGUGGAACUCCGAGUGUAGAGGUGAAAUUCGUAGAUAUUCGGAAGAACACCAGUGGCGAAGGCGACAUACUGGCUCAUUACUGACGCUGAGGCGCGAAAGCGUGGGGAGCAAACAGG
rnacentral:rRNA from 1 species